rnacentral:rRNA from 1 species
AUCGGUAUGGGAUGGGGUCGCGUCCUAUCAGCUUGAUGGCGGGGUAACGGCCCACCAUGGCUUCGACGGGUAGCCGGCCUGAGAGGGCGACCGGCCACAUUGGGACUGAGAUACGGCCCAGACUCCUACGGGAGGCAGCAGUGGGGAAUAUUGCACAAUGGGCGCAAGCCUGAUGCAGCGACGCCGCGUGCGGGAUGACGGCCUUCGGGUUGUAAACCGCUUUUGACUGGGAGCAAGCCCUUCGGGGUGAGUGUACCUUUCGAAUAAGCACCGGCUAACUACGUGCCAGCAGCCGCGGUAAUACGUAGGGUGCAAGCGUUAUCCGGAAUUAUUGGGCGUAAAGGGCUCGUAGGCGGUUCGUCGCGUCCGGUGUGAAAGUCCAUCGCUUAACGGUGGAUCCGCGCCGGGUACGGGCGG